rnacentral:rRNA from 1 species
AUUGAACGCUGGCGGCGUGCUUAACACAUGCAAGUCGAACGAAGUGGCGAACGGGUGAGUAACGCGUAAUCAACCUGCCCUUCAGUGGGGGACACCAGUUGGAAACGACUGCUAAUACCGCAUACUGAAGGAGGGGAUUGCGUCUGAUUAGCUAGUGGGAGGGGUAACGGCCCACCAAGGCGAUGAUCGGUAGCAGGUCGGAGAGGUGGACCGGCCACAGGGGGAAUGAGACACGGCCCAGACUCCUGCGGGAGGCAGCAGUGGGGAAUCUGCCGCAAUGGACGAAAGUCUGACGGAGCAACGCCGCGUGAGUGAUGAGGCCUGCGGGUUGUAAAGCUCUGUUAAUCGGGACGCGGUACCGGAAUAGAAAGCCACGGCUAACUACGUGCCAGCAGCCGCGGUAAUUC